UACGGAGGAUGCAAGCGUUAUCCGGAUUUAUUGGGUUUAAAGGGUGCGUAGGCGGGAAAAGAAGUCAGUGGUGAAAUCCUACAGCUUAACUGUAGAAUUGCCGUUGAUACUGUUUUUCUUGAGUAUGGUCAAGGAAGGCGGAAUGUGUAAUGUAGCGGUGAAAUGCUUAGAUAUUACACAGAACACCAAUUGCGAAGGCAGCUUUCUGGCCCAUUACUGACGCUGAGGCACGAAAGCGUGGGGAUCGAACAGGAUUAGAUACCCGGGUAGU
rnacentral:rRNA from 1 species